CCCAGGGCGCAUGCUCCCUACCCAGCAGCCCUAGCGCGACACGGCCAAGCGGACAGCCAGGACUCCAAGAUGGCGUCAGUUGUACCGCUGAAGGACAGGAGGCUGCUGGAGGUCAAAUUAGGGGAGCUGCCAAGCUGGAUACUGAUGCGGGAUUUCACCCCUUCGGGCAUUGCCGGAGCAUUUCAAAGAGGUUACUACCGCUAUUACAACAAGUACGUCAACGUGAAGAAAGGCAGCGUCGCCGGGCUGUCUAUGGUGCUGGCAGCUUACGUGCUUUUCAACUACUGCCGUUCUUACAAGGAGCUCAAACAUGAGCGGCUGCGCAAAUACCACUGAAGAUGGCGCCCUCUGCAUUCCUGACUGGGACCCUUGCCUGGCACCCUGAAUCCUUUCUUAUCCUAACGGAGAAUUAACACCCAAUAAAAGAUGAUUGCUGUUCAUCCAGGCCCUGCCUUUGCCUCUCUACCCUCAAACCUGCUAUCCCUCAAAACGGAGAAGGGAACCGCAAGGAAGCCAACGGCCGCCUCGAGCACUGAGCAAGCGGUGAGGGGACAGGUGGGGGCACCCAACCCACACUAACCCUGUCCUCCCGACCCUACAGUCCCCAGGUUUUCAAGUCUCAUCUGUCGGGGUGACUUGUGUGGACAAGCAGCCAGUGUAGCUGCCACUUAGUCCUCUGGCAGAUGUGAUCACCAGAGGAGGGACGUGGCAGCCCCACUUCAUAGCGCUUGGUGUCCACGGCUGAUCCAGGGAAUCCAGGAUCCCCACGAGGUGUCUUUAAUACCACCUGUGCCCGUGGGAGGAAGAGGCUGUUAGGUCCCCCUCGCCACCCCCGCCCCACCUUUCUAAGGUUCCAGGAGAGCUUGCAUCACAGAGGCCCUGCUGGCCAGUCUGCGACAAGAUACGUCUCCUCACUAUACUCGAGACCUGCCUGCCCCCAACUCGCCUCACCACCUUCCAACGCCCCCUGCCCAUACUCUCCUUAACCUGGGAGGGCUGGGCCUCAGAAGCCUCUGCGGGGCCUUCCCUAGGUGCAUGUGCACUUCUAACUCUGGUGUCUGGGCACCUGCCUCCCCCCCUCAGAACACGGACCCCUCCCGGGAAGGAGCAACUGCAGUGGGCUCGCUCUGCAGAGCCAGUCCUGAGAAGGUGCUCCUGGGUGUCUGAUGGCCGUGGAAGUGGCCAGUGGCUCAGCUUUGCCAAAGGGAAGUUCUAGGAACAAUGUAAGCUUAUGCUUUCUGACCCCAGCCUUCUGCUUGCAGGCCUGGAUGCUGCAGACCCCACAAGAGCUCACAGGCGUCUGUCAGAUUCAGCACUGCUUUCAGCAGCAGAGACCGAAUCCUUGUUUACCAACAGAGAACUGGUGCAGUUAUGCAGCCACUGAAGUACAUGAGAGAUACACAUACUGACACGGAGAGACCCUGACUGUUCUAAGAAAAAAGAUCAUAUAGGGCAUUGUACAUAGUAGGGCCCUAAGAGAUAUAGGGUCUUGUGCUUAUGUGAAUAAAAGUUUGGAAGAGUGGA